UAGCCUACGGGGGGCAGCAGUGAGGAAUAUUGGUCAAUGGCCGGAAGGCUGAACGAGACAAGUCGCGUGAGGGACGACUGCCCUAUGGGUUAUAAACCUCUUUUAUAAGGGAAGAAUAAAUGCUACGUGUAGCAUGAUGCCUGUACCUUAUGAAUAAGCAUCGGCUAACUCCGUGCCAGCAGCCGCGGUAAUACGGAGGAUGCGAGCGUUAUCCGGAUUUAUUGGGUUUAAAGGGUGCGUAGGCGGUUUUUUAUGUUAGUUGUUAAUCGU
rnacentral:rRNA from 1 species